rnacentral:rRNA from 1 species
GCGGAGGGAUCAUUACCGAGCGAGAGCCUUCGGGCUCGACCUCCAACCCUUUGUGAACACAACUUGUUGCUUCGGGGGCGACCCUGCCGUUUCGACGGCGAGCGCCCCCGGAGGCCUUCAAACACUGCAUCUUUGCGUCGGAGUUUAAGUAAAUUAAACAAAACUUUCAACAACGGAUCUCUUGGUUCUGGCAUCGAUGAAGAACGCAGCGAAUUGCGAUAAGUAAUGUGAAUUGCAGAAUUCAGUGAAUCAUCGAAUCUUUGAACGCACAUUGCGCCCUCUGGUAUUCCGGAGGGCAUGCCUGUUCGAGCGUCAUUUCACCACUCAAGCCUGGCUUGGUAUUGGGCGCCGCGACGUUCCGCGCGCCUCAAAGUCUCCGGCUAAGCUGUCCGUCUCCAAGCGUUGUGAUUUCAUUAAUCGCUUCGGAGUGCGGGCGGCCGCGGCCGUUAAAUCUUUCACAAGGUUGACCUCGGAUCAGGUAGGGAUACCCGCUG